rnacentral:ribozyme from 12 species
CAUAUCUUACAAAACAAAUAGGAGUAAGCAAUUAAUAACACAUAAUCAAACAUUUUGAGGGGUAUACAUAGAAUACAAACUGCUCUUUUGUUUUUUGUUUCUUCUUUUUCUCUUUUUUCACCUUCAUCGGUCAGCAGACCAAACAUGUGAAAAUUCAAUAU